UCCUUGGUAGCUCAGAUGGUAAAGAGUCUGCCUGAAAUACAGAAGACCCAGGUUUGAUUCCUGGGUCAGGAA
rfam:TPA: Bos taurus chromosome 14, whole genome shotgun sequence.